rnacentral:lncRNA from 1 species
GUGAGUCACUAUAGUGAUCACGUCAUGUUAAUGAGUGAUAUUGAGCCGCUACCUGCCCUUUGAAAACCAUUUCUUUUGCUAUACGUGCCGGCAGGAAUGGGG